rnacentral:lncRNA from 1 species
AUUGUACUGAAAUUAUUACCAGAUCUUCAAUCAACCUCCCAUCAUGAAAUUUUUCCUGAUUUUGUUGUUGGCUUCUGUUGUAGUGGUAUCUAAUGCUGCUCCCAAACCGGUCUAUACAACUGGGAAAACUACAUCCUAUACAACUGGUCAUUCAAUGUAUCCUGGAGCAGCAGCAACUACAUACCAUAGUCAAACUACUACUGGACACGGAAUGCCUAUGGCUGGUGCGAUGGGUGCAGGGCCUAUGAUGGGUUCAGGUAUGCAUACAAUGCAUGGAGUGCACGGAAAAAAAUAAAGGAAGAAUCAAAAAUGAUGAUCCACCAACUCCGAGACGCACCACUCUUGGAUUUGAUUAAAUUGAAUGGAUUAUUGUUUAAUUUCAAAAUAAAUUGUUGCAAG